ensembl:lncRNA
CGCUGAACACUUGAGGGCAGCAAGAACACAGAACACUGUCCGCAAAUGUUAAUGUGGAAAUCCCUAUGGGAAAUCCACACCUCAAAAUUCAUCUGUAAAAUGUGAUUGAUAAGAUGAACAAAUACUUUCAAUUACAAUUACAUGUAGUGAGUAGGCUUAUAGAAUGUGGUGUCCUCUCACCAUUCCCCAAAUGUUUGACCAGAAAGGUUAUGCCUAAAUGUAGGCAACCUUGCAACGAAAAUGAGUUUCUUUUGGACAAAUUCAGCAAACAAGGAGGUGUAACUGGAGCGGCUGUUGAGUUGAAUGGAGUUCAACAGACCCAAAGUUCCAGGGCCUGUAGAUGGAGCG